AACCCCUACCUUUAGUUGCCAUCAGGUUAAGCUGGGGACGUCUAAAGGAACUGCCUACGCAAGUAGUGAGGAAGCGGGGAUGACGUCAAAUCAGCACGGCCCUUACGUCCAGGGCUACACACGUGCUACAAUGGCCGAUACAGAGGGCAGCUACCUGGUGACAGGAUGCAAAUCUCCAAAGUCGGUCUCAGUUCGGAUCGGAGUCUGCAACCCGACUCCGUGAAGUUGGAUUCGCUAGUAAUCGCGCAUCAGCCAUGGCGCGGUGAAUACGUUCCCGGGCCUU
rnacentral:rRNA from 1 species